GGAGGGGUAGCCUAAUUGGUAAGGCACCGGUCUUGAAAACCGGCGACUUCGGUCUUGCGGGUUCGAGUCCCGCCCCCUCCGCCA
rnacentral:tRNA from 2 species